rnacentral:rRNA from 1 species
GACAGAGGGGGCAAGCGUUGCUCGGAAUUACUGGGCGUAAAGGGCGCGUAGGCGGGCUGUCAAGUCUGGGGUGAAAUCCCGCGGCUCAACCGUGGAACUGCCUCAGAUACUGACGGUCUCGAGGGAGGUAGGGGCGAGCGGAACUGAUGGUGGAGCGGUGAAAUGCGUUGAUAUCAUCAGGAACUCCGGUGGCGAAAGCGGCUCGCUGGACCUCUUCUGACGCUGAGGCGCGAAAGCCAGGGGAGCAAACGGG